UCGUCGGUUCCAUGGGAGCGCCACACUUGGAACAACGAACUUCAAAGCUCUUACCUGAAACCAAAGCAGGCUCAGCAAGUCCAAGUGGUUCGCCAUUGCUAUCCUGAGAUUAUGAUGAAGCAUUUUCGGCGCUCUUUUGUCAACUUUCGGACUAGAAUGAUGUUAAAGGAUUGAAAACCGUAAACAAAGUGAGACCAGUUAGAUCAAUCCAAGUUUGGCAAUAUCUGGGAUGUUUAAAAGAGAGGAAUAAGAGCAAUUUUGUUGACAAGAAAAUGUUUGGUGGAAGAAGCGUGAAAGUUAGGUCGCUUCUGAAGUUUCCAGCUAGAUUUCCGUAUGGAAAGUUUUUUAUCAUGUUUAUGCCUAAUUGCCAGAUUUUUGUAGCUUCCCUCUCUAGACAAGGUUCUUACUGCCUUCCAGGCUUCUUUCAUGAUUUCCUCUUUAUUGUUUAUUUUUUAUAUAUAUAAAAAAAUUGUUUUGCCCUUGCCCAAUCGGUAAUUUAUUUUCUUAUAAAAGUAAGUGGACACGAAGAUCAGCUUUUUAAACACCCAAAACCUAUGUUAGCAUAGACUACUGUCAUAUCUGCCUCUUGAAUAAAUUGAAGCUCAUAGAUCAGAGAGAAAGGAUUAGAAGAGAACCUGCGCGAAAAAAUACAGACCUUUUGGCAUCAUUUUCAAAAGCUUAGAACAAACUAGUAAAUUUACGUGAAUUGAAAAUAUUUCUUUAAAAAUCCAUUUUAUACCAAUGCGAAAUCGAAAAAAUAACCAACUCAAAACAAAAACUUUUGACUGAUGGGCAAUUGCCUCUCACCUAGUUAUAACCUUGGUGUUGACGCCUUUCCGUGGAAUCCAUUUUUUUCUUUCCGUAGGAAUAGCAUCUUAAAUCCAACAUCUUCCACCAGGCUCUUAAUUUUCUCAAUUCCAAGAAAAAAAUGCCGAGAUCUGGUGUUUCAGAAUAACUUGUGAUAAAAUUAAAGUGGGACCUACUCAUUAUAUGUUAGGUUGAUCUAGUUUCAUUACAUCAUUGUCUUCGUUCUGAGGAGAAUGAGAAAAUUAUCUCCGAAGUCGCUCAUUCAGCAAAAUAAUUCAGGAAAUAAUAAGAUCUCUCCUUACUUAAAAAUACAGAAAAAUUUGGGAUUUGAUGCCAUCUAUAGUUAAGCGAUUGGUUUGGCACCAAGGAAUUCCACUUUUGUGAAAGGAAAGAGCACCAACGUAGUGGUGAGGCAAAAAAUGCUGCCAAAUAAAGAGAAUAUGUGAACAUAGUGAGGGUAAGACAACCAAACUUGCAGUACUAAUUGGUAGAAAUGUCGAAAGCUUCUUUCUGAUAAACAGAUGGGAAAAACCCUUGCAAAAAGGGUGCCAUGGAGGUGAGGCCAACUAAUCAACAAAAUCAAAAUAAUAUGAAUGGAAUGAGCAAAGAUAGUAAAUUAGUGUU